rnacentral:rRNA from 1 species
ACGCACGCUGGCGGCGUGCCUAAUACAUGCAAGUAGAACGCUGAAGAGAGGAGCUUCCUCUUCUUGGAUGAGUUGCGAACGGGUGAGUAACGCGUAGGUAACCUGCCUUGUAGCGGGGGAUAACUAUUGGAAACGAUAGCUAAUACCGCAUAACAAUGGAUGACACAUGUCAUUUAUUUGAAAGGGGCAAUUGCUCCACUACAAGAUGGACCUGCGUUGUAUUAGCUAGUAGGUGAGGUAAUGGCUCACCUAGGCGACGAUACAUAGCCGACCUGAGAGGGUGAUCGGCCACACUGGGACUGAGACACGGCCCAGACUCCUACGGGAGGCAGCAGUAGGGAAUCUUCGGCAAUGGGGGCAACCCUGACCGAGCAACGCCGCGUGAGUGAAGAAGGGUUUCGGAUCGUAAAGCUCUGUUGUAAGUCAAGAACGGGUGUGAGAGUGGAAAGUUCACACUGUGACGGUAGCUUACCAGAAAGGGACGGCUAACUACGUG